rnacentral:rRNA from 1 species
AAUAGCCUAACGGCUGAACCAGCAACUUGGAGGAAUGUAUAGCGAAAGCUAAUUGUAUUAAUGAACAGUUAAUGCAAUAUCGACUAUGUCGACUAAAGUUCUAGGUAGAGUAAUGAUAAUGACAUUUUUUACCUAUAUGUCUUGACCAAAUCACGUGCCAGCAGUCGCGGUAAUACGUGGAAGACUAGUGUUAUUCAUCUUUAAUAGGUUUAAAGGGUACCUAGACGGUAUAUCUAGCCCAAAAAGGGUACUGAUAAACUAGAGUUUAAUGUGAGGGGGGGAGUACUAAAGGAGUAGAGAUGAAAUUCUGUCAUACCAAUAGGUAACAGGUAUCGGCGAAAGCAACCUUUUAUGCAAAAACUGACGUUGAAGGACGAAGGCUCGGGUCACAAACAGGAUUAGAUACCCUAGUAGUCUGAGCAGACAACGCUGAAUGCCAUAGAUUAGAUUUUAUUUCUUCUAUAAAUGAAAGUGUAAGCAUUCCACCUCAAGAGUAAUUUGGCCACAUAGAAACUGAAAUCAUUAGACCGUUUCUGAAACCAGUAGUGAAGUAUGUUGUUUAAUUUGAUGGUCCGCAAAAAACCUUACCACAAUUUGAAUAUUCUUAUAUCUUUUUAUAUUUAUACAAGCGUUGCACGGCUGUCUUCAGUUAAUGUCGUGAGAAUUUGGUUAGUUCCAUUUAAUUAACGUAAACCCUUACUUUAUUUUAUUUUAUAAAGUUGUUCACCGCUAUAUUGGAUAUGAUAAAAGGGACUAAGACAAGUCAUCAUGGCCUAAAUAUUGUGGGCUAUAGACGUGCCACAUAUACCUAUGCAAAGGGAUGCGAAGUUGCGAAAUAGAGCUAAUCCCCCUAAAAUAGGAUAUAACAU